AUGACGAACACAAAGGGAAAGAGGAGAGGCACCCAAUAUAUGUUCUCUAGGCCUUUUAGAAAACAUGGAGUUGUUGCUUUGGCCACGUAUAUGCAAAUCUAUAAGAAAGGUGAUAUUGUAGACAUCAAGGGAAUGGGUACUGUUCAAAAAGGAAUGCCCCACAAGUGUUACCAUGGCAAAACUGGAAGAGUCUAUAAUGUCCCCCAGCAUGCUGUUGGCAUUGUUGUAAACACACAAGUUAAGGGCAAGAUUCUUGCCAAGAGAAUUAAUGUGCGUAUUGAGCACAUUAAGCACUCUAAAAGCUGAGAUAGUUUCCUGAAACACAUGAAGGAAAAUGAUCAGAAAAAGAAGGAAGCCAAAUAGAAAGGUACCUGGGUUCAACAGAAGCACCAGCCUGCUCCACCCAGAGAAGCACACUUUGUGAGAACCAAUGCGAAGGAGCCUGAGCUGCUGGAACCUAUUCCCUAUGAAUUCAUGGCAUAA
rnacentral:lncRNA from 1 species